UGAGAUCAGGCCAUUGCACUCCAGCCUGGGCAACAAGAGCAAAACUCUGUCUUAAAAAAAAAAGUUGGUGGGGAAGGGAGGAAUUACAAGUGAAUUGUCCAGAGUGAUACACACAAAUCAACUGAAAAAAGAGAUACCUUGACUGACAUUAGAUUUGGCCCCAGAAUCUGUAAUUUUAAUCUCCGUGCCUUCCAGAAAUUAUUCAGAUACUUAUUUCUUAACCUACAUUGAGUGCUUUGCAAUGUGCUUUGCAAUGUUUGAGGCACUGUGGUGCGUGCUAGAGAGAAAAGGGUACGCACAAGCAAUGGAUUCUUGCUCUUGUGGCAUUUGCCCUCCAGUAGAGAAGAAAGAUAUAAUCAAUUAAAGUAAAUAAGGUUAAAAUUGCAAGCAUAAUGACUACUCUGAAGGAACAAUACCCAGUACUGUAUGAUAAUAUAAUUAAGUUGGCAAUUUGAGCAUAUUUAGUGAGAGAUCUAACCUACUGGAGGGCUGGGGAGAUUCCUCUGAGUAAGUGGCAUUUGAGAUGAGACCCGAAAGAUGAGUAGAAGGUAAAGGGGUGUGUGUGUGUGUGCGCGCGCGCGCGUGCGGCAAUCCAAGCAGAGGAAAUAGCAUGUGCAAAAACUUCACAGUGGGAAGGUGCGUUGCAUGCUGUAAAAGCUAAAGGCCCAGAAUGUUGGAGCUCAGGGAGACGGGGAGAGGCAUGACUUAGGAUGAAGCUGGAGAGGAAAGACAUGCAAGGACUUGUAGGCCAUGUUGAAGAGUUAGGCUUUUGUCCUAGGAAAGAUGGAGAACCGUAAUGGUUUUAGCAGAGGGGUGACAUGUUCAUGCGUAUUCUUUGAAAUGAUCAGCCUAGUUACUACGUGGGGAAUGAGUUGGAGGGACAAGAGUACGUAACUCUAGGAAGUUCUUACAGUAGUCCAGGAAAAAACAUUUCUGUGGCUUAGAUUAGAGAGAUGGCAGUGAUGAUGGAAUGAAGUGACUGACUCUGAAUAAUAUUUGGGAGGUAAAAUUGAAUGGAUAUGUCAUUGGCUUGCCUUUGAGAGGUGACAGAGAGGAAAGUCAGCAGGAACUCCUAGGUUUCUGGCUGGCUUGUGUAACAGAAUGAGAGAAUGAUGGUUUUAUCCACCAAGACAAACCGUAAGGACAGGAGCAGGGUUGGGGUUAGAGGAGCUUUGCUCACUUAAUCUGUUCAGCACAGCCUAUAUACCCACUUCCUUUGAAGAACUGUUAAUCCAAUCAUCUGGUUUUUGGUUAGAUUUACCUUCAGAAAGCCCUGCUGACCUAGCUGUAGUAUAGUGUGCUUCAGUGUGGUGACGCUGUUGGUACAGGCAGUGGCUCAGUGACCCAGGCUUGUACAAUGAGAUUCCUUUUCAUGAAUGUUUAAGGUUGGAAGUGAAAAUGAAGGAGACUUACCUUAAGAGUCUUGGAGCAGCAAGGAUGGGAGGUUGGAGCUGCUUUCUGAUCAUGUUUCUUACCUAUGGAGAAAAGUAGUUUGCCGUAGGAGAGAAAAUAGACAGAGGUAAGCAGAAAUUGGAGAGAGAAAGAGAGUGAGAGAGAGAGAAAAAAAAAUUGACUUUCUUUUGUUAUUUAAAUCCUAAAUCUAGGCAUGCUCAACACUAACCCUAUCCAAGAAAUUCCUAGUUACAUAAGCCAAUAUAUUUCCUUUUAAAUUUGAACCCAAUUUGAGGUGAGUUUCUGAUACUUUCUUCUGAGCUUCAGUUAGUCAGGUAAGAUAACUAGCUUCCAAAAAUGUUGAGUUUCAGGUGGUUUUCAGGCAUCCAUGUAUAAAUAUCAAAUAGACAGUAGGAAGGAUGUAUCUCAGCUCAGAGGACAGGGAUAGGAGAUAUAAAUUUUGGAAUUACCUGCAUAAGGGCAAUAAUUGAAGCCAUUGUCCAUGGUGAUUUUACAUAGGGAGCAAGUAUAUGGUGGUAAGAGAAGAGACUUUAGAACUAGACUUCGAAAUUGGAGAAUAUAUAAAGAUGAGCUUGUAAAGGAAGCAAAGACAUAAGUAGACAAUAACAAAGAAGAUUCAGUUUUAUGGAUCUAGGGGUUUUAAAAAGGAGAGAGUGAUCAACCAUGCUGGAUGUCACUAAAAGAUCUCCCGCACUGAUGUCUGAAAAGUGUCCUCCUGGUUUAGAUGUAGCUGGAGAAAGAGUCGACUUUUUAGAGAUGUGUCUUAGCAACCUGAGAGCUAGGAGAUGCCAAGUGUAAUAUUAAAGAUUUAUCUAAGGGUUCAGAAAGAUAGAAAUGGGUCAGCAUUUAGUUUUAGUUCUCAGGAACUUCCUGGGGCAAAGGGAGGGAAACGAAUUGCUUGUUUAACAAAUAUUUAAGGCAUUCAUUCUUUACCAGGUGUCGUACGAGAUGCCAGGGAGAUGGUAACUAGCAAGGCACUUUUAUCCUUGUGAAACUUGGUCUAAAUAAGAAGGACAAACAAGUGACAAUCACAAUUUAGGUUAAUAAAUGCAGAGUGUGUCAAUUUGAAUACUUUUGGCUGUAACCAAGCGGAGACUUAAUGAACAGUGACUUAGAACACUUAGAUUUCACUUAGCAAGAAAUGCAGGUAGAUGGUGCUGGGGUAGAUUCAGCAGUUUAUCAGUAUGGGAAGGGAAGGCUGUUUUUAUACUUGCAUUGGCCACUGUUACCUUUUGGAUUUUGAACUAUAGUUUGUGGUAGCAUGAACUCUAGAUGGUAGCUGCAGCCCUGGGCAUUAUAUCCUAGCAUGAGAGUAUCUGAAGAAAGAGGAGAGGAAAAGUAGCAAAGAUUUUUUCUUCAGGCAGGUCUUAACCUUUUAUGGGGCAGAGUAUUCCUUCAAGAAGACCAUACAUAGUCUAUUUGCUGUACAUCCUUCUUCCCACCACUGAAUCACAUUCAUUUAUUGUAUUAUCCAUUUAUUUUUUAAAAAUCUGCUCACCAGACACUGUUGUGUAUAUGGAGUAUACACCAGUGAAUAAAACAAACAUCCUUCUUAAAUAAGUCCAUGUAGGAAAAUUCUCAUUGUAGCGUCUGGCCCAUAGUAAAGGUUCUUUCUAUGAGUGUUCUACACUAUUUCAUGGAACUUAUAUUCUAUUGGAAAAGACAGAUAGUAAACAGGUAAACAGGUAAGUGUAUAAUAUGUCAGGUGAUGAUAAAUGAAAUGCAGAAAAAUAAAGCAGAGGAGAGAAAAUAAUGAGG